GAUGGGAGGAAAUGCGUCUGUGUGCCAUCAAUCGUCAAUUUUCCACCAACUGAAUCGGCCUUGCAGCACCUCUGCGCAACGUAUCAAAAUUUGAAAUCGCACAGGAAUUUCCCCAACGUCACGCAUCUAAAGGUUCACUUUUUGGACUUGCUCGAGGAGGAUGGGAAUACGGACAACGAAGACGUUGGAAAGUUCUCGAAAAUCAAAGGCCUGCAUUUGGAAUUUAUUCCAUCAUCGGAAUAUUUGAAUAGAUUUUUAGUCAUCGUUGGGAAAAAAUUGCAAACUCUCAUCCUGUCUCGAAAUUUGUACGAAUGCGGGUUGAAUGUGGACUUCAAAACCAUUGCCGACUCUUGUCCACAACUAGAAAAACUCUGCUUGAGAAACGUGCAAAUGGUAUUUGGCUGCUCGAAAAAUAUGAAACCUUUCCCUUCAUUAAAAGAGCUUGAAUGGCAACCAUGCAGAUACACCCAUUUGUCCAAAGUUCUCUCCGUGGCGACGAAACUGGAGAAGUUAUUCAUGGCGAGCAAGUUUUUCAAGGCAAGAGAUUUGAGAAAGGCGUCCUAUUUGGUUGCCAGGAAGAGAAUUCUGAGAGAGUUGACGACUUUCCAUUUCGAGCUCUUCGCGAGUGAUUCAAAUCACUACCAAAGCGAACGCAUAGACGAUAAUUUCAUUGCAUUUCUUAAAGCGUUGAAAUGCUUCACGAAAGACGCAUCCGCGUACCUGCCAAAGUUGGU